rnacentral:rRNA from 1 species
AACGAACGCUGGCGGCAGGCUUAACACAUGCAAGUCGAACGCAUCCUUCGGGGUGAGUGGCAGACGGGUGAGUAACGCGUGGGAACGUGCCCUUCAGUUCGGGAUAACCCAGGGAAACUUGGGCUAAUACCGGAUACGUGCGAGAGCAGAAAGAUUUAUCGCUGAAGGAUCGGCCCGCGUCUGAUUAGCUAGUUGGUGGGGUAAUGGCCCACCAAGGCGACGAUCAGUAGCUGGUCUGGGAGGAUGAUCAGCCACAUUGGGACUGAGACACGGCCCAAACGCCUACGGGAGGAAGCAGUGGGGAAUAUUGAACAAUGGGCGCAAGCCUGGUCCAGCCAUGCCGCGUGAGUGAUGAAGGCCUUAGGGUUGUAAAGCUCUUUCGUCCGGGACGAUAAUGACGGUACCGGAAGAAGAAGCCCCGGCUAACUUCGUGCCAGCCGCCGCGGUAA